rnacentral:lncRNA from 1 species
UUGCUGCUUAAAUCGAUCGAGGUCGGAUGACGGAUACCUGAUCUUCAUGUAAAGAUGCUGGCACUGGAGUGACCUACAAAAUAAAUCUUAAACCAGAGGUUUUAGCUCUGAUGAGGAUCCUCCGACGCUUAAGUUAAAAAAGCAAAGAACAAAGAAAUAGCAAAGGAUUCUCUGAGAGAAAUUUGAUUUGACUUAUCUGGAUCCUCAGGGCUCUG